AAAACUUUCAACAACGGAUCUCUUGGUUCCCGCAUCGAUGAAGAACGCAGCGAAAUGCGAAAAUUAAUGUGAAUUGCAGAAUUCCGUGAAUCAUCGAGUCUUUGAACGCACAUUGCGCCCUUUGGUAUU
rnacentral:rRNA from 11 species